CAGUCCCGCGGGAAUACGGAGGGUGCAAGCGUUAAUCGGAAUUACUGGGCGUAAAGCGCACGCAGGCGGUUUGUUAAGUCAGAUGUGAAAUCCCCGAGCUUAACUUGGGAACUGCAUUUGAAACUGGCAAGCUAGAGUCUUGUAGAGGGGGGUAGAAUUCCAGGUGUAGCGGUGAAAUGCGUAGAGAUCUGGAGGAAUACCGGUGGCGAAGGCGGCCCCCUGGACAAAGACUGACGCUCAGGUGCGAAAGCGUGGGGAGCAAACAGGAUUAGAUACCCCUGUAGUCCCUGUCUCUUAUACA
rnacentral:rRNA from 1 species